rnacentral:lncRNA from 1 species
UACAAAAUAAUCCACAUUUAUUCCAUGAUCUUCAAGGGGAAGACCAUGAGCAUCCCCACCUGAAUUUGACGUAACCUGGAUUCGAAUUUGGACCGCAACAUCAGGCCUAAAUUUGGGUCAGCCACUUCAAUCUAGAUCUCAACUAUGUGACUGACUAUCGGAAGAUAAGGCCAGAAACUGGAUCAGGGUUUGAGACAGUUAUGGAUCUCAGUGAGGUUUCUCAUCUCAGAUCCAGUUUCAUAUGUGAAAUCGGUUUAGAUCUGUGUGUGACUCUUUUUUUCUUUUUUGAACCCUUAUUUUACUAGGUAAAUUGACUGAGAACACAUUCUCAUUUACAGCAAAGACCUGGGGAGUAGUUACAGGGGAGAGGAGAGGGGAUGAAUGAGUCAAUUGGCAAUUUGUUGUUGGCAAGUCAUAAACGGGACCCUUCCAACCACAAACAGAGAGAGGAACAUCAACUACUGUAUCAAUGCUGGCUAUAUAUGUCUAUUGUAUGUGUUGUUUACUUACAAAACCUAUUAAAAAUGUUUUUAAGGAUACAUGUGAAAUAUUUACAUUUGGCCAAAUAAUGUAUACAUUCCAAAUUCCAACAUAUAUUACAGAAUGUUCUUCAAAUGUAAAUACAGGGCCUUCAGAAAGUAUUCACACCUCUUUACUUUUUCCACAUUUUGUUGUGUUACAAAGUGGGAUUAAAAUGUAUUUAAUUGUGAUUUUUUUUGUCAAAGAUCUACACAAAAUACUCAAUAUGGAAGAACAUUUCUAAAAUGUGUAAAACAUUCAUGAAAAAUAAUAAUACACUAGUAUAUCUUGAUUAGAUAAGUAUUCAACCCGCUAGGUCAAUAAAUGUUAGAUUCACCUUGGCCACGAUUAUAGCUGUGAGUCUUUCUGGGUAAGUCUCUCAGAGCAUUCCACACCUGGAUUGUGCAACAUUUCCAUUAUCUUUUUCAAAUUCUUCAAGAUCUGUCAAAUUGGUUGUUGAUCAUUGCUAGACAACCAUUUUCAGGUCUUGCCAUAGAUUUUCAAUCAGAUUUAACCUUUCUAGGGCAGGCGUUCCGCUAACAAUCCGCUGAAAUGGCAGCGUGCGAAAUUCAAAAAUAUUUUUUCGAAAUUUGUAACUUUCACACAUUAACAAGUCCAAUACAGCAAAUGAAAGAUAAACUUCUUGUAAACCAUCGUGUCUGAUUUCAAAAAGGCUUUACAACGAAAGCACAACACAUGAUUAUGUUAGAUUACCGCCAAUUCAAAAAAACACACAGCCAUUUUUCCAGCCAAAGAUAGGAGUCACAAAAAGCAGAAAUAUAGAUAAAAUGAAUCACUAAUCUUUGAUGAUCUUCAUCAGAUAACACUCAUAGGACAUGAUGUAACACAAUACAUGAAUGUUUUGUUCGAUAAUGUGCAUAUUUACAUCCAAAAAUCUCAGUUAACAUUGGUGCGUUACGUGCAGUAAUGUUUUGAUUCCAAAACAUCCGGUGAUUUUGCAGAAAUACUCAUAAUAAACAUUGAUAGAAGAUACAAUUGUUAAUAAUAAUAAUUGUAAUUGUAAUAAUAAUUGUUAUUCACAGAAUUAAAGAUAGACAUCUCCUUAAUGCAACCACUGUGUCAGAUUUUUUAAAAACUUUACGGAAAAAGCAUAAUCUGAGAACGGCGCUCAGAGCCCAAUACAGCCAGAGAAAUAUCCGCUAUUUUGGAGUCAACAGAAGUUAGAUAUAACACUAUAAAUAUUCAUCAGAUCUUCAUCAGAAUGCACUCCCCGGAAUCCCAGUUCGACAAUAAAUGACUGAUUUGUUCAAUAAAAUUCCAUAAAGUCCAUCAUUUAUGUCCAAAUAGCCACUUGUUGUUAGCGUGUUCAGCCCACUAAUCCAUCUUCAUGAGGCGCGAGCACUUCGUCCAGACAAAAACUCGAAAAGUUCCAUUACAGGUCGUAGAAACAAGUCAAACGAUGUAUGGAAUCAAUCUUUAGGAUGUUUUUAACAUAAAACAUCAAUAAUGUUCCAACCGGAGAAUUCCUAUGUCUGAAGAAAAGCCAUGGAACGAGAGCUAAACUCUGUCGGGAGUGCACGUCACGAGCCCGAGACACUCUGCCAGACCACUGACUAAAAUAGGUCUCAUAAGCUCCCCAUCCUCAUAAGCUCCCCAUUUAUAGUAGAAUCCUCAAACCAGUGGAAAUCUAGUGGAAGCCGUAGGAAGUUGACUCCAUAGACACUGUGUAUUCAGUAGGCCAAGCUUUGAAACAUUUCAAACCUCAGAUUUCCCACUUCCUGGUUGGAUUUUUCUCAGGUUUUCGUCUGUCAUAUGAGCUCUGUUAUAAUCACAGACAUCAUUCAAACAGUUUUAGAAACUUCAGAGUGUUUUCUAUCCAAUUCUAAUAAUAAUAUGCAUAAAUUAGCAUCUGGGACAGAGUAGGAGGCAGUUCACUCUGGGUACGCUAUCCAUUCAAAAGUGAAAAUGCUGCCCCCUAUCCCAAAAGAGUUAAGUCAAAACUGCAACUCGGCCACUCAGGGACAUUCACUGUCUUCUUAGUAAACAACUCCAGUGUAGAUUUGGCCUAGGUUUUUGUCCUGCUGAAAGGUGAAUUCAUCUCCCAGUGUCUGGCAGAAAGAAGACUGAACCAGAUAUUCCUCUAGGAUUUUGCUUGUGCUUAGCUCCAUUCCAUAGAUUUUUUUGUCCUGAUAACUCCCCGGUCCUUAAUGAUUACAAGCAUAACAUGAUGCAGCCACCACUAUGCUUGAAAAUAUAGAGUGUGCUACUCGGUAAUGGGUUGUAUUGGAUUUGCCCCAAACAUAACCCUUUACAGUGCAUUCGGAAAGUAUUCAGGUUACAGCCUUAUUCUAAAUAUUUUAUUUUAUUUAUUUUAUUUUAUUUCACCUUUAUUUAACCAGGUAGGCCUGUUGAGAACAAGUUCUCAUUUACAACUGCGACCUGGCCAAGAUAAAGCAUAGCAGUGUGAACAGACAACAACACAGAGUUACACAUGGAGUAAACAAUAAACAAGUCAAUAACACAGAUUUUUUUUUAAAGAGUCUAUAUACAUUGUAUGCAAAAGGCAUGAGGAGGUAGGCGAAUAAUUACAAUUUUGCAGAUUAACACUGGAGUGAUAAAUGAUCAGAUGGUCAUGUGCAGGUAGAGAUACUGGUGUGCAAAAGAGCAGAAAAGUAAAUAAAUAAAAACAGUAUGGGGAUGAGGUAGGUAAAUUGGGUGGGCUAUUUACCGAUAGACUAUGUACAGUUGCAGCGAUCGGUUAGCUGCUCAGAUAGCAGAUGUUUGAAGUUGGUGAGGGAGAUAAAACUCUCCAACUUCAGCGAUUUUUGCAAUUCGUUCCAGUCACAGGCAGCAGAGAACUGGAAGGAAAGGCAGCCAAAUGAGGUGUUGGCUUUAGGGAUGAUCAGUGAGAUACACCUGCUGGACCGCAUGCUACGGGUGGGUGUUGCCAUCAUGACCAGUGAACUGAGAUAAGGCGGCGCUGUACCUAGCAUGGACUUGUAGAUGACCUGGAGCCAGUGGGUCUGGCGUCGAAUAUGUAGCGAGGGCCAGCCGACUAGGUGCAUACAGGUCGCAGUGGUGGGUGGUAUAAGGUGCUUUAGUAACAAAACGGAUGGCACUGUGAUACCCGUGAUACCUGUGACCGGCUCGGAAACCAGAUUGCACAGCGGAGAAGGUACGGUGGGAUUCGAGAUGGUCAGUGAUCUGUUUGUUGACUUGGCUUUCGAAGACCUUAGAUAGGCAGGGCAGGAUGGAAAUAGGUCUGUAACAGUUUGGGUCCAGGGUGUCUCUCCCUUUGAAGAGGGGGAUGACUGCGGCAGCUUUCCAAACCUUGGGGAUCUCAGACGAUAUGAAAGAGAAGUUGAACAGGCUGAUAAUAGGGGUUGUGACAAUGGCGGCGGAUAGUUUCAGAAAUAGAGGGUCCAGAUUGUCAAGCCCAGCUGAUUUGUACGGGUCCAGGUUUUGCAGCUCUUUCAGAACAUCUGCUAUCUGGAUUUGGGUAAAGGAGAAGCUGGGGAGGCUUGGAUAAAAUAGUUUUUGUUCCUCAUUAAUCUACACACAAUACCCCAAAAUGACAAAGCAAAAACAGUUUUUAGAAAUGUAAAAAAUAUGAAUAAAAACUGAAAUAUUACAUUUACAUAAGUAUUCAGAC